CAGCAGCCGCGGUAAUACAGAGGGUGCGAGCGUUAAUCGGAUUUACUGGGCGUAAAGCGUGCGUAGGCGGCUUUUUAAGUCGGAUGUGAAAUCCCUGAGCUUAACUUAGGAAUUGCAUUCGAUACUGGGAAGCUAGAGUAUGGGAGAGGAUGGUAGAAUUCCAGGUGUAGCGGUGAAAUGCGUAGAGAUCUGGAGGAAUACCGAUGGCGAAGGCAGCCAUCUGGCCUAAUACUGACGCUGAUGUACGAAAGCAUGGGGAGCAAACAGGAUUAGAUACCCCCGUAGUCCCUGUCUCUUAUAC
rnacentral:rRNA from 1 species